CAAGACGUAGCUUUAAUAUAAAGUGUUCAGCUUACACCUGAAAGAUGUCUGCCACCUACCAGGCCGUCUUGA
rnacentral:tRNA from 1 species